AGUGAACGCUGGCGGUAGGCCCAACACAUGCAAGUCGAACGGCAGCACAGUAAGAGCUUGCUCUUACGGGUGGCGAGUGGCGGACGGGUGAGGAAUACAUCGGAAUCUACUUUUUCGUGGGGGAUAACGUAGGGAAACUUACGCUAAUACCGCAUACGACCUACGGGUGAAAGCAGGGGAUCUUCGGACCUUGCGCGAUUGAAUGAGCCGAUGUCGGAUUAGCUAGUUGGCGGGGUAAAGGCCCACCAAGGCGACGAUCCGUAGCUGGUCUGAGAGGAUGAUCAGCCACACUGGAACUGAGACACGGUCCAGACUCCUACGGGAGGCAGCAGUGGGGAAUAUUGGACAAUGGGCGCAAGCCUGAUCCAGCCAUACCGCGUGGGUGAAGAAGGCCUUCGGGUUGUAACGCCCUUUUGUUGGGAAAGAAAAGCAGCAGGUUAAUACCCCGCUGUUCUGACGGUACCCAAAGAAUAAGCACCGGUUAACUUCGU
rnacentral:rRNA from 1 species